rnacentral:piRNA from 1 species
UAACUGUCGCACCUAUUGUGUCCUCACAGC